UCAAAUAUGACAUUUUGAGCUCCUCUCCUGAUUUCAAAAGAUUCUUAAAAAUGAAUUUCAGUUAUUCCUUAAUCAAACCAGACCUGUAGGACACUAGAGCAGUCCAGAACAUCCGAAAAGAAGGAAUCCAGCACCCCGGCUCAUCACCCAGACCACCCUCGUCCG